UUGUAACCCUGACACUAAAACCACAUUUUGAGCCUCAAAAAGGCCUUCAAACUUGUGCGGACCGGUGUGUCCUCACAAGUGACUUUUGGUUCUCACAAGUAUAGUAGAAUGCAGAUUUCGGUCCUCACAAAGAUAGCUAGACAGGAACACACACACACAUACUGGGGGUUGAUUGUUGUUAUGGUGACUCAGAUGCUUCCUGUUUCCUGGAGGAAGUGUGUGAAGAAUGUCAGGAAGCCAGAGGAUGUGGAGGCCGGGGCCAUGAGUAACGGACUGCUGUUGUCAUAGGAACAGUAUGUGAGAGCGUGAGUUGAACUCCGGUCCAAUGUUUAGAGACUUUUAUUUUGGAGGCCUUUGUUUAACCACCUGCUCCUGAUUGGCUGAUGUGAAACUGAGGCAGCACAGCGACGUUAGGCCUGAAGUUUAAACCUGAAGUAAUCCGAUGAGCUGAAGUCCUGCUCCGCGGACCUCACACAGUCUUGUUGUUAUCUUGGCUGGUAGUUUGAUUCCAAGGCUCGGUCCUGCUGGUGCUGCUGCUUCGGGUAACCCCAGCCCUUCAUCAGAGAUCACAGUCUAACAGCUGCUGAGAGGAAGGACCUGCAGCGUGAGCGUCAGGCGUGGGGUGGAGACACUGUCCGACCCCCUGCACUGGGUGGACGGGGCAUCCCAAGACAGAGCCGGCCUUCUUAUCCAACCGCUUCCUCUCAGCUGUAGACGAGCUGCUGUUCCAACAGACAACGCCACAAAGACCUUUCCCCGUCAGCUGAAACACUCCCGUCUUCUGGGAGGUUUCAAGGUGAGACUUCAGCGCACUGUUCCCCAUCUGCACCUGUAGCCAGGUACCAGCCCUCCACUUGCAGGGCCACCCGAAGUCCUUCCAGACAGGCUGAUGGAUCAGCUGACAGCCGUAUCA